CACGUAGGGGCCAAGCGUUGUCCGGAUUUAUUGGGCGUAAAGCGUGCGUAGGCGGUUUGGUAAGUCGGUUGUGAAAGCCCAGAGCUUAACUUUGGAAUUGCAACCGAAACUAUCAAACUAGAGUAUGGCGGGGGAUAGUGGAAUUCUUAGUGUAGGGGUGAAAUCCGUAGAUAUUAAGAGGAACACCAGUGGCGAAGGCGACUAUCUACACCAUUACUGACGCUGAGGCACGAAAGCGUGGGGAGCAAACAGG
rnacentral:rRNA from 1 species